ACCCUCAAGGUUCCUUACCCCUCGGAUCUACAUGUUGGUCUGAGUGGGAGAAAAAGGAGGCAAAGUAAACUGAAGUGGAGAGUCUUCAGUGACACAUAUGUUCAUUUCCAACAUAU
rnacentral:snoRNA from 1 species